rnacentral:rRNA from 1 species
UCCUACGGGAGGCAGCAGUGGGGAAUCUUCCGCAAUGGGCGAAAGCCUGACGGAGCAACGCCGCGUGAUCGAAUGAAGGCCUUCGGGUUGUAAAGAUCUGUUGACAGGGACGGAUAAGCAAUGCGAAUAGUUUUGUGUAUGACGGUACCUGUUUAGAAAGCUCCGGCUAACUACGUGCCAGCAGCCGCGGUAAUACGUAGGGAGCAAGCGUUGUCCGGAAUUACUGGGCGUAAAGGGUGCGUAGGCGGCCUGCUAAGUCUGGAGUGAAAGGUACCGGCUC